UGGUAAUUAAGAGAGCUUUCUUCAGUCCACUCAUGGGUGGCAAUAAGGUUUAACUAGCUGCUGACUCAUUCAUCCAAAUGCUGAGUAUAAUCAUAAUCAUAAAAUUACUCAGUAAAUGAGUGAAUGAUGCAGGAGACAGGUUGAAUCUUAAGCUUUCUGUACUUGGACUGAAGGGAGCUCCCUUUUCAUCCCUU
rfam:Lupinus angustifolius cultivar Tanjil chromosome LG18, whole genome shotgun sequence.